CCCCUCCGGCCGCCGAGAGCCCCGCGAGCCCCGGCUGGGACGGGCCCGAGCGGGCGAGGCUGCGGGGCCGGGAGCAGAGGGAGAAGCGGCUGCGGCUGAGGAGGGAGAGAGGGGAGAGGGAGGAGAAGGCGCCGCAGCCGCUGCCCAAGGGCUGGAGCCCCCAGGCUGAGGUGGAAUAUCAGCACCCGCUGGGGCCCGACGGCAAAAAGGCCACGGGCGUGCCCCUCCCCCCC